rnacentral:rRNA from 1 species
GAGUUCUCCCUGACCCUUUAAGGGUCCUGAAGGAACGUUGAAGACGACGACGUUGAUAGGCCGGGUGUGUAAGCGCAGCGAUGCGUUGAGCUAACCGGUACUAAUGAACCGUGAGGCUUAACCUU